rnacentral:rRNA from 1 species
GUGGGGAAUCUUCCGCAAUGGACGAAAGUCUGACGGAGCAACGCCGCGUGAGUGAUGAAGGUCUUCGGAUUGUAAAGCUCUGUUAAUCGGGACGAAAGAGCCUAGUGUGAAUAAUGCUAGGAAGUGACGGUACCGGAAUAGAAAGCCACGGCUAACUACGUGCCAGCAGCCGCGGUAAUACGUUGGUGGCAAGCGUUGUCCGGAAUUAUUGGGCGUAAAGCGCGCGCAGGCGGAUCUGCCAGUCUGUCUUAAACGUUCGGGGCUUAACCCCGUGAUGGGAUGGAAACUACGGAGCUAGAGUAUCGGAGAGGAAAGUGGAAUUCCUAGUGUAGCGGUGAAAUGCGUAGAUAUUAGGAAGAACACCAGUGGCGAAGGCGGCUUUCUGGACUGUACCUGACGCUGAGGCGCGAAAGCGUGGGGAGCGAACAGGAUUAGAAACCCUGGUAGUCC